rnacentral:rRNA from 1 species
ACGACGAACGCUUGGCGGCGUGCUUAACACAUGCAAGUCGAGCGGAAAGGCCCACUUGUGGGUACUCGAGCGGCGAACGGGUGAGUAACACGUGAGUAAUCUGCCCUUCACUUGGGGAUAACGUCCAGAAAUGGGUGCUAAUACCCGGUAUUCACGUAUGACCGCAUGGUUGUGGGUGGAAAGGUUUACUGGUGGGGGAUGUGCUCGCGGCCUAUCAGCUUGUUGGUGGGGUAAUGGCCUACCAAGGCUUUGACGGGUAGCCGGCCUGAGAGGGUGACCGGCCACACUGGGACCGAGACACGGCCCAGACUCCUACGGGAGGCAGCAGUGGGGAAUAUUGGACAAUGGGCGGAAGCCUGAUCCAGCAACGCCGCGUGAGGGAUGACGGCCUUCGGGUUGUAAACCUCUUUCACCAUUGACGAAGCUGCUCAUUUUUGUGGGUGGUGACGGUAGGUGGGGAAGAAGCACCGGCCAACUACGUGCCAGCAGCCGCGGUAAUACGUAGGGUGCGAGCGUUGUCCGGAAUUAUUGGGCGUAAAGGGCUCGUAGGCGGUUUGUCGCGUCGGGAGUGAAAACCUCGGGCUUAACUCGGGGCUUGCUUUCGAUACGGGCAGACUAGAGGUAUGCAGGGGAGAACGGAAUUCCUGGUGUAGCGGUGAAAUGCGCAGAUAUCAGGAGGAACACCGGUGGCGAAGGCGGUUCUCUGGGCAUGAUCUGACGCUGAGGAGCGAAAGUGUGGGGAGCGAACAGGAUUAGAUACCCUGGUAGUCCACACCGUAAACGUUGGGUGCUAGGUGUGGGCGGUGUCGACUCCGUCCGUGCCGAAGCUAACGCAUUAAGCACCCCGCCUGGGGAGUACGGCCGCAAGGCUAAAACUCAAAGGAAUUGACGGGGACCCGCACAAGCAGCGGAGCAUGUGGUUUAAUUCGACGCGACGCGAAGAACCUUACCAGGGCUUGACAUGCACUGGAAUGUCGUGGAAACACGGCAGCCCUUCGGGGCCAGUGCACAGGUGGUGCAUGGCUGUCGUCAGCUCGUGUCGUGAGAUGUUGGGUUAAGUCCCGCAACGAGCGCAACCCCUGUCCCAUGUUGCCAGCGCGUAAUGGCGGGGACUCAUGGGAGACUGCCGGUGACAAAUCGGAGGAAGGUGGGGAUGACGUCAAGUCAUCAUGCCCCUUAUGUCCUGGGCUACACACGUGCUACAUUGGCCGAUACAAAGGGUUGCAAACCCGUGAGGGGGAGCGAAUCCCAAAAAGUCGGUCCCGGUUCGGAUUGGAGGCUGAAACUCGCCUCCAUGAAGGCGGAGUUGCUAGUAAUCGCGGAUCAGCA